rnacentral:misc_RNA from 1 species
GAUGAAGAACGCAGCGAAAUGCGAUAAGUAGUGUGAAUUGCAGAAUUCAGUGAAUCAUCGAAUCUUUGAACGCACAUUGCGCCCCUUGGUAUCCCGAGGGGCAUGCCUGUUCGAGCGUCAUUUCACCACUCAAGCCUGGCUUGGUGUUGGGCGACGUCCUCUUUGGGGACGCGCCUCGAAACGCUCGGCGGCGUGGCACCGGCUUUAAGCGUAGCAGAAUCUUUCGCUUUGGAAGUCGGGGCCCCGUCUGCCGGAAGACCUGCUCGAAAGGUUGACCUCGGAUCAGGCAGGGAUACCCGCUGAACUUAAGCAUAUCAAUAAGCGGAGGA